rfam:Pseudocercospora fijiensis CIRAD86 unplaced genomic scaffold MYCFIscaffold_9, whole genome shotgun sequence.
GGUUGUAUAGUGUAGCGGUCAGCACAUCGGAUUCUGAAAUAGGCCUGCGCAAGCAGUGCCAUACGUCUUCCGGUAACCCCGGUUCGAUUCCGGGUACGACCU